ACUUCGGUCAAGUUGAACGGAUGACUUAGUGGCGGACGGGUGAGUAACGCGUGAGGAACCUGCCUUUCAGUGGGGGACAACAGUUGGAAACGGCUGGUAAUACCGCAUAAGCGCACAAUGUUGCAUGACAUGGUGUGAAAAACUCCGGUGGUAUAAGAUGGACCCGCGUCUGAUUAGCUAGUUGGUGAGAUAACAGCCCACCAAGGCGACGAUCAGUAGCCGACCUGAGAGGGUGACCGGCCACAUUGGGACUGAGACACGGCCCAGACUCC
rnacentral:rRNA from 1 species